AUGAAUAUCAAAAGUUGUGGUGCUGUGGUGAGCCUCAAGAAAUGGUCUGAAUCUGUGGGUGCCAAGGGUGUACUUAACAUUGCUUGGGUCAAUGUUAGCAACAUCCCUUUGGACAAAAGAUGUGAAAGAAACAUUGCCUAUGUUGGAUCUUUGGUGGGUGUAACCCUGGAAAUCGACAAAGCUACUGUCAACAGACCCGAGUCGGUCAGAAUUAAGUUGGGAUGUAGAGAUGCUGAAAAUAUCCCAGCUAAGGCAGAGGGGGUGUUGGGAGAUCAUUUCUAUGAUUUUUUCUACUCAAUAGAUAAAAUUCUGGUUAAAACAAUCCUAAAGACAGUGUGA
rnacentral:rRNA from 1 species